rnacentral:rRNA from 2 species
GCGAUGAAGGGCGUGCUAAUCUGCGAUAAGCGCCGGUAAGGUGAUAUGAACCGUUAUAACCGGCGAUACCCGAAUGGGGAAACCCAGUGUGAUUCGUCACACUAUCAUUAACUGAAUCCAUAGGUUAAUGAGGCGAACCGGGGGAACUGAAACAUCUAAGUACCCCGAGGAAAAGAAAUCAACCGAGAUUCCCCCAGUAGCGGCGAGCGAACGGGGAGGAGCCCAGAGCCUGAAUCAGCAUGUGUGUUAGUGGAAGCGUCUGGAAAGGCGCGCGAUACAGGGUGACAGCCCCGUACACAAAAGCGCAUGUGCUGUGAGCUCGAUGAGUAGGGCGGGACACGUGGUAUCCUGUCUGAAUAUGGGGGGACCAUCCUCCAAGGCUAAAUACUCCUGACUGACCGAUAGUGAACCAGUACCGUGAGGGAAAGGCGAAAAGAACCCCGGCGAGGGGAGUGAAAAAGAACCUGAAACCGU